ACGUAUCUCUCUCCUCCUGCUACAGCGCCUCACACAGAAUUCCCCACAGGACACAGGAGGCAACUAUCUGUCCUCAGGAGUGGGAUGUAAGAAAAAGAUGCACCUAUGUUGUUUCAAGUAUCAAAUGAGGACAUAUCGGGGGCCUGGGUUCGAUCCCUGGUCAGGGAACUAGAUCCCACACGCAUGCCACAACUAAGGAGACUGCGAGCCGCAACUAAGGAGCCAGCAAGCUACAACUAAAGGAGCCCUGGAGCCGCAACUAAGGAGCCCACCUGCUGCAACUA